rnacentral:rRNA from 1 species
AACGAACGCUGGCGGCAGGCCUAACACAUGCAAGUCGAGCGAAGCCUUCGGGCUUAGCGGCGGACGGGUGAGUAACGCGUGGGAACGUGCCCUUUGGUACGGAAUAGCCCCGGGAAACUGGGGGUAAUACCGCAUGUGGUCGAGAGACGAAAGAUUUAUCGCCAAAGGAUCGGCCCGCGUUGGAGUAGGUAGUUGGGGGGGUAAUGGUCUACCAAGCCGACGACCCAUAGCUGGUUUGAGAGGAUGACAAGCCACACUGGGACUGAGACACGGCCCAGACUCCUACGGGAGGCAGCAGUGGGGAAUCUUAGACAAUGGGGGAAACCCUGAUCUAGCCAUGCCGCGUGAUCGAUGAAGGCCUUAGGGUUGUAAAGAUCUUUCAGUGGGGAAGAUAAUGACUGUACCCACAGAAGAAGCCCCGGCUAACUCCGUGCCAGCAGCCGCCGUAAAAC